AUUGAACGCUGGCGGCAGGCCUAACACAUGCAAGUCGAACGAGUGGCGGACGGGUGAGUAAUGUCUGGGAAACUGCCUGAUGGAGGGGGAUAACUACUGGAAACGGUAGCUAAUACCGCAUACCAUCGGAUGUGCCCAGAUGGGAUUAGCUAGUAGGUGGGGUAACGGCGCACCUAGGCGACGCUCCCUAGCUUGUCUGAGAGGUUGACCAGCCAACCUGGAACGUAGACACGGUCCAGACUCCUACGGGAGGCAGAAGUGGGGAAUAUUGAACAAUGGGAGCAAGCCUGAUGCAGCCAGGCCGCGUGUAUGAAGAAGGCCUUCGGGUUGUAAAGUACUUUCAGCGGGGAGGCGUUACCCGCAGAAGAAGCACCGGCUAACUCCGUGCCAGCAGCCGCGGUAAUAC
rnacentral:rRNA from 1 species